CCAAACUUGGUCAUUUAGAGGAAGUAAAAGUCGUAACAAGGUUUCCGUAGGUGAACCUGCGGAAGGAUCAUUAUUGAAGUUGAAUCGAGGGGUUGUAGCUGGCUCUCUUUCAGAGCAUGUGCACGCCUUUCGUCACUUUCUUACCACCUGUGCACCUUUGUAGACUUGGAUGGAUGUCUGAAACAUCUCAGUAUUCGUACUGGAUAGGGGUUUGCUCUUCGGCUUUCCCUGAAUUGAUGAUGUCCGUCUCUUGUCUAUGUUUUUCAUACACACUUUGAAUGUAUCAGAAUGUUUAUCAUGGGUCUUGUACCUAUAAACUUAAUACAACUUUCAACAACGGAUCUCUUGGCUCUCGCAUCGAUGAAGAACGCAGC
rnacentral:misc_RNA from 1 species